ensembl:lncRNA FAM66D family with sequence similarity 66 member D
GGGCGCAUGCGCGGUCUGCCUCCCGCGGCGGGCCGGGUCUCCAGGGAGGACCUGAGUUUUCUUCACCCAUUGUCAGGGAGGCGCCAUCGCCCUGGCUUUGGGGCUGGGGCCUCCGGGGAGGUUCCGGUAGGGGCGUUGGAGAGGCCGCUCUUUUUGCAAGGCCCGAGACGGCGGGCCUUGCGCAGGCCGCCCUAUUCCGCGCCCUCAGGGCGUCAGUAUCAGCCUGAGGCUGGAUACCCCCGCUGGGCCCAGAUGCCCCCGCUGGGCCCGGAGCAUCCUCCGGCGCUGCCCUCCCAGAGCCACGCAGAGGCUGAGGUGGCGCGGGGGCGGCCCUGGCUCCGCGAGAAGCGGCGGCAGCGAGGGCUGGAGGACCCGGGCUGCGGGGCUCCGGGGCGUCUGGCCUGGGUGGGACUGAGCCCAUCCAGGGACUGGGACUCCGGGGUUCUGGUGUAGGUGGAUCCGGGGCAGGCUCAGGACCAAGUCCCUCUCCUUCCACCAAGGAGCGCCCAGAGGCCGGCGGGAGCUCCAGGUUCACCUCCUCCUCCUCCAGGAAAUCCCACUUCCAACUGGAUGUCUGGAUGAACUACUGAAAGCUGCUGAGUGUCCUGCAGCAGCUUGACUACAACACAAAUGAAUCCACUCAAAUGUUGGCAAGUGGAGCAGAGUCCCAGAACAGUCUGCAAUCUCUACAGGUACAGAAACACCCCCAGUUCAAGGAUCUUCACACCUGGAUUUAGGCCUACUCCUGCAACUACCCCAGCUACUUACACCAAGAUGAAGAUAAUUUAUUAGUUCAGGAAGAAUCUGCAUUCUGAAGACAAAUAGAAGUUCCAGCUACAGAUGGGCAGACACAUGCCCUCUCAAUUCCUGAUGGACCUCCUAGUGCCUUCUGGACCUAAGGGGCCUCCCUCAAUGUUCCAAGGUGCCACCAAGGCAGGGAUCAGCUCGUGCAUUCCUGAGAACAUCCCGGAUGAAGUGAGGCUCUGGAAAAAUGCAAGAGUUUCCACAUAAUCCCAAAAAACACUACAGGUGAACUGGAUGCCACAGAAAGAGGAGUGGUCUUUGUCACAACGAAAUCAACAAAAUUAUUUCGAAGUCAAUUAGGAAACUCAGAAAUCACUCUUGCUACCAUUAAGAGGAAGAACAGGAGCCUGUGAAUGGCAUCCCUGGCCUACCUGAGACUCCAAAGAUAUUUCUCUGUGGCUUCUGACAGCAGAAAUCUCUGUGAUUUUCAGAAAGGCAGGGACAGCUCCUGCCAGCCCAUCCUUCUGCAGAAUGUGUCCCAGCAGAUCAGUGGCAUGGAACCAUCAUGGACAGCACAAAGGCUCAAGGGCAGCAUCCCAGGCCGGCCUGUGACUCUAGAUAAGUUCUGAGUCCCCAUGGGGGCUCAGGAAAGGUUAGUGAUGACCUGGAAAGAAGGGACAGGCUGAAACCGCCCCUAAGCAAUCUGCAGGAUUCCAACUUCAGCAGGAAGCCAAGGACCAGCUAUUACCACACCUGCGCCCCCUGAAAACGCUGGAUACAAUCCCACUCUGCAGAAAGUUCCACAUAGAAGUGGCUGGGAAUUUUGCCUUCUAGACUGCAUUUUACACUGCCUCUGGACAUGUGAUGAGAAAUUUAACAUUGGUGUAUCUAACUCUGACAUUUUUCACGAAGUGAUUUUUUAAAAUAUGGUAAAAAAGACAAAAUAUAAUUCAAACAUAUGCAUUAUAUGUCAAAGUAUGCUUCGCUGGCAUCAAGUAGACUCACCUUGAGAUGCAAUCUUGGACAACCUCCAUCUUAAGAAUAUCUAGUUUUUCAAACCAAAACUCUCCAACCAAAAAUCAAUAACAUCAAAAGUUUGCAACUACAAGCCGACGGAAAAUAAAUACAUGAAUUCUACCACAGUGAAUUGGACUGCACUGGGAAACACAGAUGAAGAAAGCCAACACCGCUUUGUCCUUCAGUACCUGGCUCCCUUUUCAGCUCGUCUUGCGACUCCAGGCAUUAUGCCUGAAAAGUCUCCUGGACGCCUGUGAGGCUCUAAUUCCCUGGGUCCCAUUGUCAUGUCUCUGGAUUUGCGAAGAUUAACCGGACCUUCUGUGGAACUCCCGUGUCCCUCAACUUUUGUGACAUGUCCCCUAAUUCUGCCCAUGGUCAUCUGCACCUGCACGACUUAGGGUCCAUGUUCCUUGGACGGGAAGAGACAGGCAGGAGUCGGAAUGAUGAACCAGCACACUGGGGCAUUUUCUCAUGUAGCCCAAGUGACCCCAUGGUCUUCUUGAGCUUUGGAACCAGUCGCGUCCCCCUUGACACUGCACCCGACUCCCAGUUUCUCAAUCUUGUUGGCCCUCCGGCGAUCUCCCGUUGGAUGAAUUGCAUCUGCUGAAACUCGAGUCCCCUUUGAUUUGUGCUUCAUUAAUUAUUCAUGAUUCAGGUUGGAAGGCCUGCUGACGACCCCCUGUGGCCGUUUUCCGAGCUUUCCGGUCACAUCGUUUCCUUCCACCCUCUUUGGUUCCUUGUGGUCCUGCUCCUUCUGCUGUCAGAGGAGCAGAGAGUUGAUCUUAUUGAUUCUGGAUACGGAUACUUUGUAGGUGAUCUGGAUAAUCAAGAUAACGACCCUCAAAAGCGGCGGAAAGGGAGCAGCCAUUUGGUGUGUCUCAGCAAAUCCCGCUGAGUUCCGAGGCCGCCUAGGUAUGCAAUCCUGCUGAGAGUUGUUCCCAGGUCAGAGAAUGGAGAGAGCCUGUGCAUGAUGGGAUAUCCCUGCCUAGAUCUUUCAGUGAGUCUCUACCUCAGCUACUCUUAGGAUCAGGGGGAGAACCAUGGAAAGGCCCGGUGUCAGACAUCCGGAAAGAAGAGGGAUGAAUGUUUCACCUCUGAAGUACAUCCCAAAUGUGGGAGUUAACUUCAGCUUUGCUGGGGUCUACUUGGCCAGCGAAACUCUGCCUGGUUCAUUCGCACAUCCGGAAGCCACUUCACGGGGAGCCGUCGCAACCGGAACCACACACUUGGCAUCGGCGGUUGAGCCAAAUGGGGACUCGUGGUGCAAGCAACGCUCCCCACGUGUUAGCGUGCGUGAGAUUCAAUUGGCGGAAUUUUACUAGGUGCGUGUUGGUAGAGCGGGGCUGAGGUUUUCUUGCUCCUGUGGAUGUAUAGGAAGUCAAAGGUCCUGCCCAGCCCUGCGGUCCCCUCAGUCAACUCUGUUUCGGAGACAUAACGAUUUGGAUUGCUAACAAGUCAAGAAAUGUUCAAGUCCUUGGAUGUAGGGAAAAGAAAGAGAGAUCAGACUGUCACUGUGUCUAUGUCGAAAGGGAAGACAUAAGAGACUCUAUUUUGAAAAGGACCUGUACUUUAAACAAUUGCUUUGCUGAGAUGUUGUUCAUUUGUAGCUUUGCCCCAGCCACUUUGCCCCAGCCGCUUUGACCCAACUUGGAGCACACAAAAACCUAUGUUGUAUAAAAUCAAGGUUUAAGGGAUCUAGGGCUGUGCAGGACGUGCCUUGUUAACCAAAUGUUUACAAGCAGUAUACUUUGUAAAAGUCAUUGCCAUUCUCUAGUCUCAAUAAACCAGGGACACAAUGCACCGUGGAAAGCCGCAGGGACCUCUGCCCUUGAAAGCAGGGUAUUGUCCAAAGUUUCUCCCCAUGCGAUAGUCUGAAAUAUGGCCUCGUGGGAUGAGAAAGACCUGACUGUCCCCCAGCCUGACACCCGUAAAGCGUCUGUGCUGAGGUGUAUUAGUCAAAGAGGAAAGCCUCUUGCAGUUGACAUGGAGGAAGGCCACUGUCUCCUGCUUGCCCCUGGGAACUGAAUGUCUCGGUGUAAAACCCGAUCGUACAUUUGUUCAACUCUGAGCUCGGAGAAAAGCUGCCCUGUGGAGGGAGGCGAGACAUGUUGGCAGUAAUGCUGCCUUGUUAUUCUUUACUCCGCUGAGAUGUUUGGGUGGAGAGAGACAUAAAUCUGGCCUACGUGCACGUCCAGGCAUAGUACCUUCCCUUGAACUUAAUUAUGAUAUAGAUUCUUUUGCUCACAUGUUUUUUGUUGACCUCCUUAUUAUCACCCUGCUCUCCUAGUAUAUUCCUUUUUGCUGAAAUAAUGAAAAUCAUAAUCAAUAAAAACUGAGGGAACUCAGAGGCCGGUGCAGGUCCUUGGUG